rfam:Chaetura pelagica isolate M959 contig15293, whole genome shotgun sequence.
GCAUGGAUGAAUUCUGCAGUAGCUUUCCUCAGUAGCUAAUGCAGUCAGACACUAUGCCAGAAUAAAUUCCCAUUCCACACUCUGGUGUGCUUCUUUCAGUGAGCAUGGCCUGGGAGGUGGGGCACAGAA